rnacentral:rRNA from 1 species
GUAGGUGGCAAGCGUUGUCCGGAAUUAUCGGGCGUAAAGCGCGCGCAGGCGGUUCUUUAAGUCUGAUGUGAAAGCCCACGGCUCAACCGUGGAGGGUCAUUGGAAACUGGAGAACUUGAGUACAGAAGAGGAAAGCGGAAUUCCACGUGUAGCGGUGAAAUGCGUAGAGAUGUGGAGGAACACCAGUGGCGAAGGCGGCUUUCUGGUCUGUAACUGACGCUGAGGCGCGAAAGCGUGGGGAGCAAACAGGGAUUAGAUACCCUGGUAGUCCACGCCGUAAACGAUGAGUGCUAAGUGUUAGGGGGGUUUCCGCCCCCUUAGUGCUGCAGCUAACGCAUUAAGCACUCCGCCUGGGGAUACGGCCGCAAGGCUG